rnacentral:rRNA from 1 species
GACGAACGCUGGCGGCGUGCUUAACACAUGCAAGUCGAGCGGAAAGGCCACUUCGGUGGUACUCGAGCGGCGAACGGGUGAGUAACACGUGAGUAAUCUGCCCCUGGCUUUGGGAUAGCCACCGGAAACGGUGAUUAAUACCGGAUAUGACCACUUCACGCAUGUGUUGUGGUGGAAAGUUUUUCGGCCAGGGAUGUGCUCGCGGCCUAUCAGCUUGAUGGUGAGGUAAUGGCUCACCAUGGCUUCGACGGGUAGCCGGCCUGAGAGGGUGACCGGUCACACUGGGACUGAGACACGGCCCAGACUCCUACGGGAGGCAGCAGUGGGGAAUAUUGGACAAUGGGCGGAAGCCUGAUCCAGCAACGCCGCGUGAGGGAUGACGGCCUUCGGGUUGUAAACCUCUUUCAGUACCGACGAAGCGUAAGUGACGGUAGGUACAGAAGAAGCACCGGCCAACUACGUGCCAGCAGCCGCCGUAAAAC